rnacentral:rRNA from 1 species
GAGCAUCCUGGCGGCGAGUGGCGAACGGGUGAGUAAUAUAUCGGAACGUGCCCAGUAGUGGGGGAUAGCCCGGCGAAAGCCGGAUUAAUACCGCAUACGACCUGAGGGUGAAAGCGGGGGAUCGCAAGACCUCGCGCUACUGGAGCGGCCGAUAUCAGAUUAGCUAGUUGGUGGGGUAAAGGCCUACCAAGGCAACGAUCUGUAGUUGGUCUGAGAGGACGACCAGCCACACUGGGACUGAGACACGGCCCAGACUCCUACGGGAGGCAGCAGUGGGGAAUUUUGGACAAUGGGCGCAAGCCUGAUCCAGCAAUGCCGCGUGCAGGAAGAAGGCCUUCGGGUUGUAAACUGCUUUUGUCAGGGAAGAAAUCUUCUGGGCUAAUACCCCGGGAGGAUGACGGUACCUGAAGAAUAAGCACCGGCUAACUACGUGCCAGCAGCCGCGGUAAUACGUAGGGUGCGAGCGUUAAUCGGAAUUACUGGGCGUAAAGCGUGCGCAGGCGGCUUUGCAAGACAGAGGUGAAAUCCCCGGGCUCAACCUGGGAACUGCCUUUGUGACUGCAAGGCUAGAGUACGGCAGAGGGGGAUGGAAUUCCGCGUGUAGCAGUGAAAUGCGUAGAUAUGCGGAGGAACACCGAUGGCGAAGGCAAUCCCCUGGGCCUGUACUGACGCUCAUGCACGAAAGCGUGGGGAGCAA